UCAAAUCCUUGUACCGAAUGACCUGCGAACACGUUCCGAAAAUCACAAGCGUUGUUGCGCCCUUGCUCGGUGCGGGUCGGUGACUUGUUGCCGGACGCGUCGAGCAUCGAAAACAAAAUCCGGCGCGGGAAGCGCCAAGGACUAGCGAAAUAGAGGAUGGCCUUCCCGCGGCAUCCUGGCAUGCCGCGGGGAUUAAAGGGUCUCCAAAUGAAAAUGUUGUACACAGU
rnacentral:misc_RNA from 2 species